rnacentral:rRNA from 1 species
GAUUCCCUUAGUAACGGCGAGCGAAAAGGGAAAUGUCCAGCGCCAAGUCUUGACAUCUAUGGUGUUCAAGAGAUGCGGCGUUAAUGUAUCGACCCAUCGUGCACUGUUUUUUGUUUCAAGUUCCUACGACCGGGACUUCCAGAGCGGGUGUAAGACCCAUAAAGACGAGAAACCAGUGUAUGCUGAGCGAUGCAUUCUAGAGUCAGGUUGCUUGAGAGUGCAGCUUAAAGUCGGUGGUAAACUCCAUCUAAGACUAAAUAUUACAGCGAGACCGAUAGCAAACAAGUACCGUGAGGGAAAGUUGCAAAGCACUUUGAAGAGAGAGUUCAAAAGUACGUGAAACCACUGGGAGGCAAACAGAUGGAACCACGAAGUUGCGCCUCGGUCGAUUCAAUCAUCAUUGUGGGUUAGUUGUUUGAGRUCGGGAUCUUUUCGGAGAUUGAUCUCAAGUAGUUCAACCAACUAUGAUGGUGCAUUUCGUGCCGGGGAUGCUAAGCCACGUUCAACUAGAGUUGGGACGGCAGUAAGACAGAAUCCGAGAAAGGUGCCCGUCAAGUGCUUGCAUUUGACGGCGUUAUAGUCUUGGAUUGGAACCGUCGCCUAACAUACUGGUUGAUAAAAUUUCUCCGUUUGGAGUUGAGCUGURUCUGCCUGCAGUUGUUAGUCGGUGUUCCGUGGUGUUCUUUGCGUAUCUUUCGAUGCGAAAAGACGCYACAAAGAUGUCGGCUAGUGAUUGCUUGCGUGAYAYAGYAGAACUGUGGCGCGAGUAGGUCGGUCUCCAUCUGACCCGUCUUGAAACACGGACCAAGGAGCCUAUCAUAUACGCGAGUCGCUCGGUCUUGUUUAGGCCUGGGAGGCGGAAUGAAAGUAAAGUUACGAGACUUCGGUCGCAGUAACGGCUCGCCCACUUCGUUUAUUGGCGAUCUGGCGAAGCUGGAGCGUAUACGAUGGUACCCGAAAGAUGGUGAACUAUGCCUGGGCAAGACGAAGCCAGAGGAAACUCUGGUGGAGGUCUGUAGCGAUUCUGACGUGCAAAUCGAUCGUCAGACCUGGGUAUAGGGGCGAAAGACUAAUCGAACCAUCUAGUAGCUGGUUCCCUCCGAAGUUUCCCUCAGGAUAGCAGGCGUUUAUAAAGUGCAGUCUCAUCCGGUAAAGCUAAUGAUUAGAGGUCUUGGGGUUGAAACGACCUCAACCUAUUCUCAAACUUUAAAUGGGUGAGAUGGUUGACUUUCUUGAUUGAAGCCAACCAUUUGGAUGCAAAUGCCUAGUGGGCCAUUUUUGGUAAGCAGAACUGGCGCUGUGGGAUGAACCAAACGUCGAGAUAAGGCAUCAAAUGCGUACGCUCAUCAGACCCCAUGAAAGGUGUUGGUUGCUAUAGACAGCAGGACGGUGGCCAUGGAAGUCGGAAUCC